rnacentral:misc_RNA from 1 species
GCAAACUUGGUCAUUUAGAGGAAGUAAAAGUCGUAACAAGGUUUCCGUAGGUGAACCUGCGGAAGGAUCAUUAAAGAACAGGCCCAGGUAGUGGAAACACAUGCCAUAGGCUGCGGGUGUCAAUCGGUCCUCUGUGGCCGAUUGACAUGUCUGAACCCUUGAUUUUGUGUACCAUCUGUUUCCUCGGCGAGUUCGCUCGCCAAUGGGGACCAAUUUCAAACCUUUGUAGUAGUCGUACUGUCUGACAAAAAACAAACGUAUUAAAACUUUCAACAACGGAUCUCUUGGUUCUGGCAUCGAUGAAGAACGCAGC